ensembl:snoRNA
UUGGCCCUGAAUCAAGGCUGGCAGUUUUCUGAAGCUGUUGGUUUCAAGCAGGAGCCUUAAAUGGUAUCUUCCUAUGAUCUGUUGGCCAGAACUUUAGAAUUGUAAUGGUCAGUUCAUUAGAAAGAAACAACU